rnacentral:rRNA from 1 species
GACGAACGCUGGCGGCGUGCCUAAUACAUGCAAGUUGAGCGCUGAAGGUUGGUACUUGUCCCAACUGGAUGAGCAGCGAACGGGUGAGUAACGCGUGGGGAAUCUGCCUUUGAGCGGGGGACAACAUUUGGAAACGAGUGCUAAUACCGCAUAAAAACUUUAAACACAAGUUUUAAGUUUGAAAGAUGCAAUUGCAUCACUCAAAGAUGAUCCCGCGUUGUAUUAGCUAGUUGGUGAGGUAAAGGCUCACCAAGGCGAUGAUACAUAGCCGACCUGAGAGGGUGAUCGGCCACAUUGGGACUGAGACACGGCCCAAACUCCUACGGGAGGCAGCAGUAGGGAAUCUUCGGAAAUGGACGAAAGUCUGAACGAGCAACGCCGCGUGAGUGAAGAAGGGUUUCGGAUCGUAAAACUCUGUUGGUAGAGAAGAACGUUGGUGAGAGUGGAAAGCUCAUCAAGUGACGGUAACUACCCAGAAAGGGACGGCUAACUACGUG